GUAGGUGAACCUGCGGAGGGAUCAUUCACAUGAUUACUUUACAUAACAAACUGUGAACUUUAUAUACUAUUCGUGUUUUUUUUCAGUUAACUCUGAUUUAAAACAUUGUCAUUCGAUUGAACAUAAGAUAGUUGGCUUGAUUAAAUUUUUAAUCUUUCUCAGCUUUGAUUUUGAUAUUACUAAACAUUUUAUCAAUUCAACCAUAAACAUAGAAACAACUCUAUGCCCUGGAUAUCUUGGUUCUC
rnacentral:misc_RNA from 1 species